AAUCAACGCUGGCGGCGUGCCUCAGACAUGCAAGUCGAACGCGAAAGUUCCCUUCGGGGGAUAAGUAGGGUGGCGUCCGGGUGAGUAACACGUAGGUAAUCUACCUUUGGGUGGGGAAUAACAACCGGAAACGGUUGCUAAUACCGCAUAAUGCAGCGGCACCACAUGGUGACAGUUGUUAAAGCGGGGGAUCGCAAGACCUCGCGCCUAAAGAGGAGCCUGCGGCGGAUUAGCUAGUUGGAGGGUAACGGCCUACCAAGGCAACGAUCCGUAGCCGGCCUGAGAGGGCGGUCGGCCACACUGACACUGAAAUACGGGUCAGACUCCUACGGGAGGCAGCAGUCGGGAAUUUUGGGGCAAUGGGCGAAAGCCUGACCCAGCAACGCCGCGUGAA
rnacentral:rRNA from 1 species